UAAACGAUAAACCACGAAAUAUCUUACCUGUUUUUGAUAGUUUGUAUACCGUCAUUUAGAUAACUUUUAUAGGAAAAGUUGUUGAGAUGGCUAUUUGCUAGGAUGUUAGAUCAAGGUGCAGCAUAUAGACAGGUUAAGGUGGGUUACAAUAAAAUUUAUUUAUUACGAAAGAAGUUUUGAAGAAAGCUUUUGAAGGUGGACUUUAAAGUAAGGCUAGUUUAAUAUGGUAGCUUGAUUUUAGCUCUAAAUUGUGUACAUAUCGCCCGUC
rnacentral:rRNA from 1 species